GACGAACGCUGGCGGCGUGCUUAACACAUGCAAGUCGAACGCUGAAGCACCAGCUUGCUGGUGUGGAUGAGUGGCGAACGGGUGAGUAAUACGUGAGUAACCUGCCCUUGACUCUGGGAUAAGCCCGGGAAACUGGGUCUAAUACUGGAUGCUACAUGUCACCGCAUGGUGGUGUGUGGAAAGGGUUUACUGGUCUUGGAUGGGCUCACGGCCUAUCAGCUUGUUGGUGAGGUAAUGGCUCACCAAGGCGACGACGGGUAGCCGGCCUGAGAGGGUGACCGGCCACACUGGGACUGAGACACGGCCCAGACUCCUACGGGAGGCAGCAGUGGGGAAUAUUGCACAAUGGGCGAAAGCCUGAUGCAGCGACGCCGCGUGAGGGAUGACGGCCUUCGGGUUGUAAACCUCUUUCAGCAGGGAAGAAGCCACAAGUGACGGUACCUGCAGAAGAAGCGCCGGCUAACUACGUGCCAGCAGCCGCCGCCG
rnacentral:rRNA from 1 species